UACGAAGGGGGCUAGCGUUGCUCGGAAUUACUGGGCGUAAAGCGCACGUAGGCGGCUUUUUAAGUCGGAGGUGAAAUCCUGGAGCUCAACUCCAGAACUGCCUUCGAUACUGGAGAGCUUGAGUCCGGGAGAGGUGAGUGGAACUGCGAGUGUAGAGGUGAAAUUCGUAGAUAUUCGCAAGAACACCAGUGGCGAAGGCGGCUCACUGGCCCGAUACUGACGCUGAGGCACGAAAGCGUGGGGAGCAAACAGG
rnacentral:rRNA from 1 species